rnacentral:rRNA from 1 species
UAGUACGGCGAGUGAAGAGGGAAGAGCCCAAGAUUGAAAGCUGGCGUCUUCGGCGUCCGCAUUGUAAUCUCAAGAAGUGUUUUCCGCUUCGGACCAUGCCUAAGUCCCUUGGAAAAGGGCAUCAUAGAGGGUGAUAAUCCCGUACAUGGCAUGGAGCGCCCGAGGCUUUGUGAUACGCUUUCUAAGAGUCGAGUUGUUUGGGAAUGCAGCUCAAAAUGGGUGGUAAAUGCCAUCUAAGACUAAAUAUUGGGGAGAGACCGAUAGCGAACAAGUACAGUGAUGGAAAGAUGAAAAGAACUUUGAAAAGAGAGUUAAACAGUACGUGAAAUUGCCAAAAUGGAAGGGUAGGAGGUCAGAGAUGCGUCUUGGGAUUCAGCCUUGCUUUUGCCUGGUGUUUUUCCCAAGCUGCAGGCCAACGUCGGUUUUGGGCACUGGAGAAGGGUAGGAGGAACGUGGCACCUCUCGGGGUGUGUUAUAGCCUCCUACUGGAUACAGCGACCGAGACCGAGGAACGCAGCGUACUCGUAAGAGCGGGCCUUUUGGCACCUUUACGCUUAGGGCGUUGGCAUAAUGGCCCUCUACCACCCGUC